rnacentral:tRNA from 1 species
GUGUAAGUAGAUCAAUUGGUUAGAUCAUUGAUUUGUGGCGUCAAAGGUUAGUGGUUCAAUUCCACUCUUACACU